rnacentral:rRNA from 1 species
UACGUAGGGAGCAAGCGUUGUCCGGAUUUAUUGGGCGUAAAGAGCUCGUAGGCGGCUUAGCAAGUCAGGUGUGAAACCUCCAGGCUCAACCUGGAGACGCCACUUGAUACUGCUAUGGCUUGAGUUUGGUAGGGGAAGACGGAAUUCCUGGUGUAGCGGUGAAAUGCGCAGAUAUCAGAGAGGAACACCGAUGGCGAAGGCAGUCUUCUGGGCCAAAACUGACGCUGAGGGGCGAAAGCGUGGGUAGCGAACAGG